GGAUGUGAGGGCGAUCUGGCUCCGACAUCUGCCACCCCAUUGAUCACCGGGGUUGACUCGGCUGAUCUGCCUGGCUAGGCAGGCGUCCUCUGGUUCCUUCACCGCUCAUGUGUGUCGCUCCGUGAACGUCCCUCCAGAGGCAGCUGCACUGGGUCAUUGGAGGAGGACGGGUCUGCGGUCAAGGGUAAGCGAGUGGCUGUGCCCUCUUGCUGGAACCUCCGAACAAGCUCUCAGCUCCUUUUUUUUUUUUAAAUUAAUUAAUUUAUUUAUUUGAGAGCGACAGACACAGAGAGAAAGACAGAUAGAGGGAGAGAGAGAGAGUGGGCGCGCCAGGGCUUCCAGCCUC
rnacentral:snRNA from 1 species